rnacentral:snoRNA from 1 species
AUGCUCACAAGCACACUUAUCCUGCCCUGUGGCUGUGAUGGGUGCUGGGAAAAUGUGAGCUAGAGCAUGAGUAUUGCUUUGGGAGUGUCCCAUUCCAGGCCAUGUGGGACACUACAGUUAUCAAUACAACA